AUUGAACGCUGGCGGCAGGCCUAACACAUGCAAGUCGAACGAGUGGCGGACGGGUGAGUAAUGUCUGGGAAACUGCCCGAUGGAGUGGGAUAACUACUGGAAACGGUAGCUAAUACCGCAUACCAUCGGAUGUCCCCAGAUGGGAUUAGCUAGUAGGUGGGGUAACGGCUCACCUAGGCUACGCUCCCUAGCUGGUCUGAGAGGAUGACCAGCCACACUGGAACUGAGACACGGUCCAGACUCCUACGGGAGGCAGCAGUGGGGAAUAUUGCACAAUGGGCGCAAGCCUGAUGCAGCCAUGCCGCGUGUAUGAAGAAGGCCGUCGGGUUGUAAAGUACUUUCAGCGAGGAGGCGUUACUCGCAGAAGAAGCACCGGCUAACUCCGUGCCAGCCGCCGCGGUAAUUC
rnacentral:rRNA from 1 species